rnacentral:lncRNA from 1 species
GUUACAGCCUUAAAUGACAGUAAUGAUUGUUGUUGCUUGUAGGAUUAUGUGCGUUUUGCGUCGGAUGGGCAGACGGCUGCGGGAAACUGGUCCAUCGUCAUGGAUGGCGUGAUGCUGAGUGACAGUGGCAUGUACGAGUGCCUGUACAAUGGACAGAUAACUUCCACCCCGCGGUUCUACCGAAAUUUGAGAACUCUCUCCACCGUGUGGCUCACGGUCAAACCCCCGGAGCUGGACAGUGUAGUGGAGGUGUACUUAGGUAGUAACUCAGCGACCCUGCCCUGUGUCCUGGACCUGCCCAGAAACCAGUCUCCGGACGACCUCUACGUGUGGUGGGAGAAAGAUGGAAACCUUCUAUUGGAAAAGAACUCUUUGAGGCUGAAAUUUGGAAGUGACUUUUUAUAUUUUCCUGACGACUUAGAGUACUUUUUCCAAGAAAGAUCGACUCGUUUCCUCUUUUUGUGAUGACAAAUGUGUCGGAGAUUUUCAUCGGGGAGUUCACCUGCUGGUACCGGACCAAGUAAGUGCAUCUUUUAACACAUUUUAACAGAUUUUGACCAUUUAACAGA